GAUGAACGCUGGCGGCGUGCCUAAUACAUGCAAGUCGAGCGAACAGACGAGGAGCUUGCUCCUUCGACGUUAGCGGCGGACGGGUGAGUAACACGUAGGUAACCUACCUAUAAGACUGGGAUAACUUCGGGAAACCGGAGCUAAUACCGGAUAAUAUUUCGAACCACAUGGUUCGAUAGUGAAAGAUGGCUUUGCUAUCACUUAUAGAUGGACCUGCGCCGUAUUAGCUAGUUGGUAAGGUAACGGCUUACCAAGGCAACGAUACGUAGCCGACCUGAGAGGGUGAUCGGCCACACUGGAACUGAGACACGGUCCAGACUCCUACGGGAGGCAGCAGUAGGGAAUCUUCCGCAAUGGGCGAAAGCCUGACGGAGCAACGCCGCGUGAGUGAUGAAGGUCUUCGGAUCGUAAAACUCUGUUAUUAGGGAAGAACAAACGUGUAAGUAACUGUGCACGUCUUGACGGUACCUAAUCAGAAAGCCACGGCUAACUACGUG
rnacentral:rRNA from 1 species